ACAAACUUGGUCAUUUAGAGGAAGUAAAAGUCGUAACAAGGUCUCCGUAGGUGAACCUGCGGAGGGAUCAUUAACAAAUCUACACACACAAACCAUGUGUUACUGUCCGUUCCGGGAGUGGGGAAGUGCCCGGAACAACAUCAUCAUCAGAUGCACUAUUGUCAUAUUGUAUAUGUGUGGUGCCUUCGAGAGGAGGUACUAUGCGCCAUAUAAAAACGACAAACAACUUUUAACAAUGGAUCUCUUGGCUCUUGCAUCGAUGAAGAACGCAGC
rnacentral:misc_RNA from 1 species